ACAGGAAAAAGAUAGCAUUCAGCAGAGCUUUAGCAAGGAAGCAAAGGCCCAAGCCCUUCAGGCCCAGCAAAGAGAGCAGGAGCUGACACAGAAGAUACAGCAAAUGGAGGCCCAGCAUGACAAAACUGAAAAUGAACAGUAUUUGUUGCUGACCUCCCAGAAUACAUUUUUGACAAAGUUAAAGGAAGAAUGCUGUACAUUAGCCAAGAAACUGGAACAAAUCUCUCAAAAAACCAGAUCUGAAAUAGCUCAACUCAGUCAAGAAAAAAGGUAUACAUAUGAUAAAUUGGGAAAGUUACAGAGAAGAAAUGAAGAAUUGGAGGAACAGUGUGUCCAGCAUGGGAGAGUACAUGAGACGAUGAAGCAAAG
rnacentral:circRNA from 1 species